rnacentral:lncRNA from 1 species
GAUAUUUUAAUGCUCCACUGGGAAGGUGGAAAGAAAUGCACUGGCGAGACGGAUGUGAUGGGGGGCUUGAUCUCAGUCUCACCUUGUGCUUCCAGCAGGAGAGAAUGGGGAUGAUACCACACAGAAGACACUCUGAUGCUCUUAACGACCACUGGCAAUGUCCAAUACUGCCCUGUAUAUCAGCAACAUUUCAUUAUUAAACAUAUCCAUGGCCUCAUUUGCUUUUCUAAAUAAGCCUUAAGGCAGUGGCUAUCCUGGCUUAAUUCAUAGGCCACAUGCAGAGACAUUCUGGAUUUUCCUACUGGGGACUGGACAAUGUUUCAAGGCUACUGGCUGGCAGAGAGCUACCAUGGACUGUCCUACAGUGCCCAGGGUAACCACAAACAAGAAUUAUCUGAACCAAAUAUCAACAGCUCCUCAGUCAAGAAACCCUGACUUGGGUUUCUCUCCACACAUUAAAAAGGGAAACUAAGUUUUCAAGGUCCGGCUCUGUCAAAUUAACCAUUUGAUCUUUGGCAAACCAUUUAGUCCUGAACUCAAAUUGCUCUACCCAUAAAAAUGAGAUUUGUUUUUAGAUGCAAUGAUCUAUAAAGGCUUUUUGAAUCGCAGAGUCUGUGAGCCCAUGAAUUCAAAUGUCAUAGAUUUAAACUGACAAACCAGUCAACAGAAUUUUCCUACUGCUGAAGUUCCUGUUGUUAGCUAUUAAUUUUCAGUGCAGAGUUUAUUUGGGUAAUAAAUAGAGGAUUUGCCCAGCUGGAUCUUGGAGGUGGCUUGCGUGGAAGUGGAUGGGGUCCUGCCGCUGUCUGCCUUGGCCUCCUCUCUCAGCCUCACAGCUCAAACUGUGAGCUCCAGGUACCCUUGCUGCCAUCUGGAAGUUUGUAG